rnacentral:rRNA from 1 species
UACAGAGGGUGCGAGCGUUAAUCGGAAUUACUGGGCGUAAAGCGCGCGUAGGCGGCUUUGCAAGUCGAGUGUGAAAUCCCCAGGCUUAACCUGGGAACUGCAUUCGAGACUGCAUAGCUAGAGUAUGGGAGAGGGAAGUGGAAUUUCAGGUGCAGCGGUGAAAUGCGUAGAUAUCUGAAGGAACAUCAGUGGCGAAAGCGACUUCCUGGACCAAUACUGACGCUCAUGUGCGAAAGCGUGGGGAGCAAACAGG